CCAAGCAUACUACACAGCUACUGGCAAUGAUGAUGACUGCAAUUUUGGCCUGCGCGAUUACACUCAUCAACAGGCUACGCAGCACACUACCCGAAUGCUACCUGACCAGCCCUCAUACGCAAUCUCCUCGAAGGGAUUCACAACCAGAGAGGUACUUAUGAAAAGUUUUCUGAGCAGUAAGGUAGCUUAUCAGUUAAUUUACCACGCUCCAUAGAGCUCUUAUCAGCAAUAAAAUUUUAAAUUUUCAUUGAGAAUUUUAUAACUUGCUUCUGACUUGACUGAAAAAAAUUAUGUCGAUUUAUGCUGCUUGGGGUGCUAAAGACUCAAGCACGAAAGGCACGAAAUGUGAUUUUGAGAAGAUCCAAAGUGUUUCAAAAAAAAUUAGAUAAAAAUGUUCUUACAUCGUUCUUUGUCACAUCAAAACCCUCGAAGAAUAUCGUUAAUCAAAAAUAUAUCAAAACAUUUAAAAUGUUCUGCUUAUUCAUUGAACUUGAUGGAAUGAAAAGAAAUCGCAACACUGUUCGAGAAUCACUAAAAUUUUUGCAUAAUUUUCACUGCGAAUUUUGCUACUCACUUUUCCAAAUGAAAAGAUAAAAUAAAAAAUUAUAUUUGUUCACCUGAA